GCUUUGUAAUCGAAGGAGCAAUUAUUUCUGAUGCAUCUUUAAGUAGCUUUAUAUUUAUCUUGUCCAAACCAGUUGCUUUCGAAGCUUUGAGAGAUUUUAGAUGUUUAAUAACGAAAGAUUCAUCAACGGGAAGGAUAUUAAAAUGUUGACCAUUAGAUAGAUAGUAACUUGCUGCAUAACUUGGUGUUAUAGCGGGUAGCUUCUCGGCAAGAUAUUGACCUAUAGUAGCGAAAUGUUUG